rnacentral:rRNA from 1 species
CUACGGAAGGUGCGAGCGUUAAUCGGAAUUACUGGGCGUAAAGCGCACGUAGGCGGUCUGCUUAGUCUGAUGUGAAAGCCCCGGGCUUAACCUGGGAAUGGCAUUGGAUACUGGCGGACUAGAGUCUGGUAGAGGGUGGUGGAAUUCCCGGUGUAGCGGUGAAAUGCGUAGAUACCGGGAGGAACACCAGUGGCGAAGGCGGCCACCUGGACCAAGACUGACGCUGAGGGACGAAAGCGUGGGGAGCAAACAGGAUUAGAAACCCUAGUAGUCC